AAUAACCAAAUAUGAUACUCGGGCUAAGGGUCAAGUUGGUAAUUUUUCUUUACUCUCCCCCUCCCGGAGCCCAGGUAUCAUAUACGCCCCCAAAAUAAAGAGCCUUGAAUACUAGAAGAAAAGCACCUAGACCUAACAAGAUUAAAGUGAAUACCUAAAAAUUUGUGGUCAUUUUAUUUCGAUCUUUCCA
rfam:Nicotiana attenuata strain TT chromosome 11, whole genome shotgun sequence.